rnacentral:rRNA from 1 species
GACGGAAGGAUGCAAGCGUUAUCCGGAUUCAUUGGGUUUUAAAGGGAGCGUAGGUGGCCUUAUAAGUCAGUGGUGAAAUCUCUGGGCUUAACCCAGAAAUUGCCAUUGAUACUGUAGGGCUUGAGUACAGUUGCUGUGGGCGGAAUAUGACAUGUAGUGGUGAAAUACAUAGAGAUGUCAUAGAACACCGAUUUGCGAAGGCAGCUCACAAAACUGUAACUGACAACUGAGGCUCGAAAGUGCGGGGAUCAAACAGG